CUCCCAGACCCUUCUUCGUAACUAGACCCCGCCUACUUCUGUGGUUUUUUUUCAAUACAUGGGGCUUGUGAAAGUAGCCACAUCGAUGCUCAAGCCGGCCCUGUUCCCCCGUGGCAUUUUGAUGUGAAAAUGAAGGCGGCGCGCACAAUAAUGGAUUGUGGAGAUUUUUAGGAUAAGAUUUUUAAAGCAGCGGGUUGAAAGGCCAUGGCGGAUAUUAUGACAAUGGCACACAGUUGUGACCUAAUGAAAAUUAGAAAUGAUUCAUCGUUACUACCUUUUUUGUUACAAAAUGACUCCAGCUGCAUUAAGAGGAAGAUAAAUUUGCUGUUAUUCUGAGCAGGAGGAAGAUGCUGGCAGGGAGGAGGGGCACUUCUACCCGUAUCCUUGUAAAAAUAGGAGUUCGAAGCAGGUUUAAUUUAUAAACCUGAGGGCAAAGAAGUUUCGGGUGACGCUGGCCAUGCGUUGCUGUGUUUUGACGUUAGGGGUUUAAGCUAUCAGGCUGGUUGAGAUUUUUACGACCCCUUUAGACAUGUUUAUUUGAAAUCUCCCUGGCUUUCCCUGGUGAACUUUAGACAUGCAAAAGAACCCCAGGGCGCAGACUCACCUCCGGCAAAUUUGUUUCCCGUUUCUCUGCUCUCAGAAGUCCAGCUCCACCACCAUGGCUACCCAGAUCAAAAGACCCGUGUUUAUUGUCCAGGCCACAUGGUGGAAAAUAGAUCUCUGCAUAAGCCGUGCGUUGGGUUUCCUGCCUCGAGAACACAACAUCCUUUCUGUUUAGAAACAAAGAUUGUUCUUAAGAGAGUCCUGGCCUUGCCUGAGAGGCUGCCCUGCCUAGCCCUUAGCAAACCCAGCACUGUUUCUAAAUCAUUGCAUUGGUUUUGGGUCUUUAAUAUCCACAACCCCCCCCCCCCCGCGCCUCCUUAGUCAUGACAGCUUUGGAGUCCUUUGGAAAAGUCACACAGAUUUCUGGGCACCUUGUUCUUCCUCAGACUGGGAGAAGCAAGAGUGCAGAGAGCAGGUGACUUGAAUGUUUUAGUUGGGUUUUGAGGGGCCCAGUCUCACAUAGAUCUCACCAAUUUCUAGAUUCCUCCUUUAGGAUUCUGAGGGUGCUUAUUCGGGGGAUUAAAGCAAGUCCUUUAAUGGAGCAGAUCCUGAAUUAGUGCAACACCAUGGGGCAUAGGGUGUUACUCAGCAGCAGGGAUUCAAUUACCAAGGUCAACACAGAUGCAUCUAAGUCCUCUAUGAACCGAUUUUGUCCUAAAAAGUCCACAUGCAGCCACAGAGGGUGUUUUUUUUGUUUUGUUUUGUUGGUUUUUUUUUUUUUUUUCCUUUUUUGGAUCCCUCUCUGAAAUACAAACUUGUGAAAAGCACUCCACUUUGCUUCAAGAAUAGGCUGUUUCUGCCAAGGGCUUGGAGUGAUUUGAGAAUCUGUAAUAACACGGGUUAGAAAUCAGAAGGGACAAUCUAUGCACUUAGAGAAACUCCCUGUAUGCCAUGCAUGUGAUAAAGAAUUCAAAGCCCAAAUAUUUUAGAAAUUCACCCAACUCAAUAACGUGAUAAAUGGCCUCGCCUUUAGAAUGACAAAAGACUCUCCUGUUUCCAAGGAGGACAAACAGAUCAGCGAAGGCCUGAAAAACCUGCUCGAUAUCCUUAAUCAUCAGGGAAAUGAAGAUGGAAACCACACUGAGAGGUUACCCCUGUCUGCUAAGCUAGCUGUGACCUAAACGCUAGACGGGAGUUAAUGAAGACACGGAGAAAGGGGAGUCUUUGUGCAGCUUUCAGAGAAAUGUAAAUUGGGAUAUCCAUUAUGGAAGGCCAGAUUGUGUUCCUCAUGGAACUCAAAACGGAGCUACCUUAGGGCCAGAAAUCUUGCUUGCUGCUUCGUCUUCAAGGAUGUUGAAGAUAUCCGCAUCCUAAUCCCUGCUCACUACAGAAUUAUCCACAAAAGCAAAGGCUAUGAAGUCAAUCCAAGGAUCCCUCAGCAGAUGGGAUGGAUAAAGGAAAUGCGCCCUUUUCGGAUGAUGCAAUGUUAGUCAACUUACAAAAAAUUUUUUUUGACAUUUUUAACAACUGAGAUGAAAUGAGGGAACAUUAUGCUUCAUAAAAUAAUCCAGUGAAAUAUUUCAUGACCUCAUUUCUAUAGGAUUUUAAAUAAAUGAAGUAAACGA